AUUGAACGCUGGCGGAAUGCUUUACACAUGCAAGUCGAGCGGCAGCGCGGGGCAACCUGGCGGCGAGCGGCGAACGGGUGAGUAAUACAUCGGAACGUACCCAGUUGUGGGGGAUAGCCCGGCGAAAGCCGGAUUAAUACCGCAUACGACCUGAGGGUGAAAGGGGGGGGAUCGCAAGACCUCUCGCAGUUGGAGCGGCCGAUGGCGGAUUAGCUAGUUGGUAGGGUAAAGGCCUACCAAGGCGACGAUCCGUAGCUGGUCUGAGAGGACGACCAGCCACACUGGAACUGAGACACGGUCCAGACUCCUACGGGAGGCAGCAGUGGGGAAUUUUGGACAAUGGGGGCAACCCUGAUCCAGCCAUGCCGCGUGAGUGAAGAAGGCCUUCGGGUUGUAAAGCUCUUUCGGUGGGGUAAGAAAGUUAGCAUAGGCUAAUACCCUAGUGUAGAUGACGGUACCUGGAGAAGAAGCACCGGCUAACUACGUAGCCAGCAG
rnacentral:rRNA from 1 species